GACGAACGCUGGCGGCGUGCUUAACACAUGCAAGUGGAGCGACGAACCAGGGCUUGCCCUGGGGCAGAGCCGCGAACGGGUGAGUAACACGUGGGUAACGUGCCCCGAUGACUGGGACAACCCGGGGAAACCCGGGCUAAUACCGGAUGUGCCCCCUCACCUCAGUGAGGUGUGUAAAGGAAGCUUCGGCCUCCGCAUCGGGAUCGGCCCGCGGCCCAUUAGCUUGUUGGUGAGGUAACGGCUCACCAAGGCUGCGAUGGGUAGCUGGUCUGAGAGGACGAUCAGCCACACUGGGACUGAGACACGGCCCAGACUCCUACGGGAGGCAGCAGUGGGGAAUCUUGCGCAAAGCGCGAAAGCGUGACGCAGCAACGCCGCGUGGGGGAAGACGGCCUUCGGGUUGUAAACCCCUUUCAGUUGGGACGAAGGUCGGGCGGUUAACAGCCGUUCCGGCUGACGGUACCUGCACAAGAAGCCCCGGCUAACUACGUG
rnacentral:rRNA from 1 species